GUGAAUGGCAACAGGCAGAAGGCCAUGGAAUUUUCCCCUCCCCGCAUUAGUGAAACUGGGAAAAUGGAGUUCACAAUUAACAAAGGCUUGGGAAAACUUGGAGCAGCAAAGCCAUAAGUAGUACCACUCCAUUCAAAACAGGAAAAGAAAGCUGAGAUGGAGAUAGCGGGUGGAGGAGGAAUCAAAGAAGAGAGAGUAAUGGAGAUGGACGUUGAUGAAAUGGAUUCUUUGUUUGAAGGGAUGGUGUUGUUUACACCAUCCCAGUUGGCAGAAGACAAAGAGCAAGAGCAAAAGCAAGAUCUUGAUCACCUCGAGCACGAAUCACAGAAUUCAACGCAGCAGCAUCAGGUUCUGGAGCCACUUGAUGAGAAUCUGUUCUCUGACCUUGUUCUUCAAGUGCCGCUUGAUCAGCUAGAUCCUGAACCUGAACCUGAACCAGAACCAGAACCAGAACCAGAAGCGGGGCCUCCUUGCGCUACUGCCUUCUCUAGGCAGACCUCUUCUACUUAUAGAAAGAAAAAGAGAGCUACUGGAUUUAGGAUUGGAUAUGGUAGAGAUGAUCAGGUUAAUAAUAAUAUUGAUGAUCAUGAUGAGAGCCAUUCUGCUGCCCAACCAAUUCCUUCACCUCAUACCAGUACCACCACAAGCACUACCAUAUCUUUGGUCUCAGGCUCAGAUUCACAAUCCCUCCAAGGCCAGGCUCAGCAGCAGCAGCAACAACAACAACAACGAAAAUCUAUUAAUGAUGCUGAAGCCCAAUUUGAGCAAAUCAAGGCCCAGGUUGCCAAUAAGCUCAGCGGUGCUCACAAAUUGGCAGCCUCUGUAUCUGAAGCUCGCAAGGACUCUAUCAGGAGAAGAAGAAAGGCUGCUGAUGAUCUUAACUUAGCAACUAUUAGAUUUGGGGACCUUGAAAAGCAGUUGGAGGAUGCUUGUGAAGCCGAGGAUUUUGAGGCCGCUGACAGGAUCAAUGAGAGCCUUGCUGCUGCUGACAAGGAUAAACAAGCUCUCCUUAGUGCUCUCCGAGAUGCUGAGGUCCAAUGCAAUGCUAUUGAUUCCAAAAUGCUCGAGGUUCUCAACUGCCAGAUUGCUGUCGAGGAGGAGUGUGCCUCUUUGCUCCAUCAUUUCUCUGAGGAUGCUAUGAGUAAUGCUGAUUUGGUCGUCAAGAAAUCAGAAGCACAAUCUUCAGAAGAAAGGGAGAAAUGGCUUUCUUCAACUGAAGCCUUGGAGUUGAACAAGAUAGAAUUACAAAUUGAGGCACACUUAGUAGAUGAAGCUCGUGCAGUAUUCAAUACUUCCCUUGACAGCUUGAUUGAAGAUGAUAAGAGAGAGAAAGAAUUUCUCUGUAAUCAAAAAGAUAUCUUGACUGACGAACUGCAAACACUACUUGCCUUAGUGAAAGACAAGGAAAAAGAAAUUGCUGAAAAUAGCUCUAAAAUUAAAGAAGUAGAUCAAAGGAUUGCUGAUGUGGUAUCUGGCUUUCAAGAGAUGCAAUCAAGUAUGAAUUCUAAGUACGACAACUUACAAUCUCAUCUUUCUCAGAUGGACAUAGAGAGUGAAACUCUAGCAAAGGAAAAGGAAGAAAUUGACAAGCUCCUUUCUGAAGAAGAAGAUAGGCGGAUUAAGCUCAAGGAACUUGCCAGAAUUUCUGUAGGUGAGGCAAAAAUGUAUCUGGAAGUUGUAGGACUAAGAAAAAGUUUGCUAUCCUCAGUUUUGAAGUCCAUGGAAGAUAAAGUGACACUUGCUAAGAUGGAGGAGAAGCUUUCUGAGGAUGUCCAAAUGCUUCAACAGGACGCUUCUACUGCAAGGGCCUCCCUACAGGAAUUAUCUUCAACAAAGUCAAGCAUUCAGCAAAAUAUAGCAUCUUUAAAGCAGAGGAUCUUUUUCAUAGACAAAAUGGUUCCAGAGCUGGAAGCAGAAAAGAAGGUUGCCGCUGCUUCAAGAAAUUUCAAGGAAGCUGCACGAAUGGCAGCUGAAGCAAAAUCAUUGACCAUUGAAAAGGAAAGUGUACAAAUUGAAAUGGACAAAGCUGUGUUGGAUCUUGGGAAACUGGAGGAAGAGAUAAAGCAUACUGUGGAUAGAUUGCAGGAGAUUGAAGGACUGAUUUUGUCCAAAGAAAAAGAAGUGGCAAUGGCUAGGUUUCAGAGGUUACUUCUAAUUGCUGGUGCUGCUAAAGCGGAAAGAUUGGCUGCUCUAGAGUUGGGCGACCUUGAAGAAGCCAACCUUCUACUUGCAGAGGCUAAUGCUGCUGAUGCCGAAGCAAAAAAGCUUCAACCAAAAUACAAUUUGAAAGAGGAAGAAUUUGAAGAUUUACCAAAGCACUUCAUCUCCUUGGAACUUGUAACAAACCUUGGCCAAAAGAAAUUAGCAGAUUUAGCAGCACUGUCCACUGCCUGAUGAUUAGUGUAGCAUUUCAUAAUUAUGGAAUCGAAGAAUACUUCAGAAUCACCUUCUACGAGGCAAAACAUGGGUUUUACCAUUUUCUUUUUUGCAGUUCUGCAUAAUUUGUCAUUGCUUCAGUGCCUUCAAAAGCGACACCAUUUGCAGCACCAUCUGGGUUGCACUGUCUGGUUCUUUUGCUUUGCUUUUCAUACCUACCAUUUGGAUCAUUCUAUGCAUGUGGUCACUGGGUGCGUGCAACCAAAAGCAUCACCUUUCAUUCAUCAGCCCCUGCGAUGGUCAAUUUGGAAAAACUAGUGAGGGGAUGGAGGAUAUUUCGGAAAGUGUGUUAGAGGCCAAUUCAAGGGUUUUGAGAGCCUGCCAUUGCUUCAGAAGUUAUGCGUCUAAAGUGGGGGGGGGGGAAUGACAAUGCAAGAUUUGUGUCUGUUUCAUCAACGCAAGAAAGUGAUAAGAACUUUGUAUUUUGGGUGCAAUAUUCACGUCAACUGGAAAAAGAGUUACUUCGAAAAUAUCAGUCAGGCUAAACGAAGAGCACAGUGCUGGUUUCUUAAUGAUUUAUUGGUAUCAUAAGUUUGUUCUGGGAAAUUCAUUGCAAUUUGCAAAAUCCAAGGGAUAUCCAGGAUUUGUUAUAUAAUAGCAAGCCUGCAACAGCUUGUUCUACUUUUUCUAAAAAGAAGUGGAGAGUGUCCCAGUGUCCUGUUUUAAAUCUUCUAAUGAAUCAAGAUUCACUAAAUCAAGUAGAAAGUUAAAGUAUAUGAGAAUACAGGUUUAGAUUCUGUUGCUUGUAAACGAAUAAACAUUGAAGGUGGAUCUGAGCAGAAUGUUUCUUAAGUUAGCUGGACUGAAUCAUUGAACUAGCAUAUAACAAUUUUAGGUUA